rnacentral:tRNA from 1 species
GGAGUAGUAGCACAGUGGUUUGUGCAUCAGACUUUCAUGUCUGAGGCCCCAGAGGUUCCAGUUUCAAUUUCUGGCACCACUA